CUCUCUCGUUUUUUCUUAAAAAUCCUAAAUGUCAUCAACAAACCAAUAUUCAGUAACACAGAGUUCCUCAUCUCCAAAUUCAGUAACACAGUUUCAAAGAGCACGAAAAAGAACUCUUUCAUCAACACAAGAAUGAAAUUGCCGACGUAAACAACCACUCCACAGCGGUGGCACUUGCUGGCAAACAACCACUCCACGGCGGUGGCACUUGCUGAUUUUCCUUUCCUCUCCAUCGCUGCCUCCACAAAGUUGCAGAAAAAGAAGGCCCAACCCAUAUCCCUGGGAUCUGGAAUUUGCCUAAAAAUAGAGGAGAAGAGUAGUGGUAGUUUUUAAAAUAAAUAAAUACAUUUAAUUUGAAUUUGUAGUGAAGAAGAUGAUGAAUUAGAUUUGGAUUUCGGCUACUUCCGGCUACGGAUCUAGGUUGUUGGAGUUUUAGAACUUGGUUGCUUUGAUUUUGAUGAGUUUCAGAUUUUUGAUUUCGAAUUAUUUUUUAUUUGAAUUUGUGGUCUAGAUGUUUGGCUUGUUGAUGGUGGUGGUUAUGGAUGAUAGUAGAUGGCGGCUCUGUGAGGAGGAUGAAGUUUUUAUUUUUUUUAUUUUUAAAAAAAUUUUGGGGUCGUGGGGUUAUUCGAUUAGGGGUUUCUUGUUAAACAGAUCGUAAGGUGGAGGGAGCUUGGAUUUGUCGAUUCCUUUUGUUGUUGAUAAUGUUGUUCUUGGGUUUUCUUCUUCGGAGUCUGAGUUUUUAGAGUCUAAUGAAGAUUGGGAAGAGUUGAUUUUGGUGGAGAAUAGUUUAGUGAAGAAGGGUUUAUGGGAAUUUAGUGAAAUGAGUGUUUUG
rnacentral:lncRNA from 1 species